CCACUAAUUGGAUCCUUUUGAGAACUCACUGGAAGGAAGUUGGCGACAAUUAUUUUUCGGUCUCGAACAAUUGGUGCUGAAUCAUCUGAAUCUUCAUCACUGCUUGUGUCUCUUUCGAGGUCGGUGAUCAUUCGAGGGGCAGUCAUUACAAGGGGAAGUGACCUUAUAGGAUGACAGAAAUCAAAUACAUCAUCAGAACACAUAUCAAGAAGGUUUGUACAAGAUUUUGAUACCAUGAUUAACGGAGCCUUCAGAUAUUCAACGUCACAAAAGUUGAAUAUCUAAUGCUUCUGUGUGUCAGACUUCGUUGUAGACCUGUGAAAACAAAGAGUGACGGUGUUUUAAAACAGAGAUACUAAAGAUUUUUGACGACAUAUCAGAAGACAAUAUCUUCACAUCCAACUCAUCAUUUCAUCAAAGUGCAUAAACUGUAAGAAUUUCAAGUACUUGAAGCAUAAGAAUUCAAACAAUAAACUAUACAGGAAAAAGUAAUUACAGAAUUUCAAGGUUAGGUCAUCAAUAUAUACGACAAAAACAAACCGAAAAGAUCGCAGAAGCCCGCACAAUUACAGAGAGCGCAGGACAUAGUAAGCCAAAUUUUCUUAGGCUAAUAAAACGACAAGCAUGCAUCGGAGCAAACAUUCUGCGACAAAUAUACCUUAUACUACACAUGAUGUGGUAAUAACAGAAAACAAACAAUAACUGAACGCUUGUCGCAUCUCUUACUCAAACCCCUUACUACUCGCGGCACUGGAUAAAUGGAAAGGAAAAGGUAAGCCCAAAAUAAUAAUAACCAAGCCAAUUGCAUGAAGAUGGUUUCGCAUACCGAUACGGACACAUAAUUUCUAAACAAGAACAAAUAACAGAGAAUUUAACUCAUCAUUACCAAAUAUACACAAAUAAAUAAAUGAAUUUGCCUGCGAUUUAACAUUGCCUAAAAGACAAUGCAGAUCCUGCCUAAGCCCAACAAGUUUGGUCUUUAGUUGUAUAAUGCAUGAGUUAGAUCAUUAAAAAAAAAAAAAAUUGCAUCAUAAGCUACUAAUCCAGCACCAAGAACGCGAUUUGUAAACCUGAGAUCGUCUUACAUCUAAAUGACUACAUCAGCAAAUGCAUAUAACAGAUACCAAGGAGAACAAUGAAAUCGAAACCAUGCCACCGAAAAACUCCAUAAUCUAAGCUUGAAAUUAUAGCACAAAACAAAGCUCAAACGGAUGAAUCUGAACCAAAAUUCAUCAUAAAAGGGGACGCCAAAAAAUAAUAUGCUGAAAAAUUAAUUGAAAGUAUAAUUGGAUUACCCAAGGAGCAAAAAAACAAAAAAGCAGUAACGUGAAGGAUAAGGAUCUCAUAAAUAAAAACCGAGAAAUGCAUGUAAAGUGAGCAUUAAAUAAUUACUUCGUACGCUCUACCGAACCUUUAAAUGGUCGCUUUAUCCAUUUAUGCUUAUCCACCAUUUUUGUACAAAUGGAAAUCCCAAAAUUGGCCCCAAAAUUUCCAAUAAAAGUAACCGACACAAACCUUCGAGCUUAUCCAAAACGAAAAUAAGCACAAUAACAUCACAAAAACAUCAAAACAACUCCAAAAUAAGAAAAAACAAAAACAAAAAAAUCGAUUCCACAUGUAAUUUCACGAGAUCUAUACAUACUCGGAGAAAGAAAAUACCAAAAACUAAUUCGAGGAUUAGAGGAUGGAGAGAUAAUUACCAAUUCAAAGAGAUUUUUGGGAAUCCUCUUUAUAUAUAUAAUUUUUUUUUUUCCGAAAAAAAGAUGGGAGAAUUGAGAUUUUUUUUUUUUUUUUUUCCUCCUUCCUGUGUAGGAGAUGUGUUGUAUACGGCUUGUUUUGCGUUUGCUCUUCCUCUUAUAUUUAAGACGGAGAGGAGGAUGAUACACCAUGAAAGGAGAAGGUAAAUCGGAGGGGCAUUUAUGACCAUUUACCUUUCCAAUUAACUCUAGGGUUGGGUUUUAACCUCUAGGUAGAGUUAAAAAGGGUGGAGGUUUCGAUUUAUAAGAAUGGGUCUCUUCUUACUGGUAUUCACAUAAAUGCCACUGCUAUUUUUGGGGAGCUCGGGUGUCACGUUGCUUACAUGGUUGUUCCUAAUUUUGGGUAAAACACUAUGUGGCACUUUUUUUUAGUUAACCCCCCAAAAAAUAAUAAUAAAUGUAAAAAAAAAAAAGCAAUGUAAAAAUUAUAGAAUAUUUUUUCACAUUUAAAUGGCAAUCUUAAUUAAAAUCUUAUUUUGUGAUAAAAGUCUAAGUUUCUGAUUGUAUUUAUAUUUUAAAUAUAGAUGCAGUUUCACUGUUGAAUUCGUGAUAAUUUAAUCUAUGAUUAUUAUUAUAUAAAGAGAGAGAGAGGAUUUAUCAAAGUUUUUUUUUCUUCCUUAUUCACUUUUUUAGGUAUUUUUAGAGUAAAUAUUUUUCACUACUAACACCUAAUUAGUAACCAUCCGUAAUAUUAAAAAAAAGAUAAACUUUAAAUUAUACUAAACUAUCUUAUGAUUUAGUAUUUAUAUUCUGUCACUCUAUAGCUCAAAAAGUUAUACUUAAUAAUUUAUAAUUUUAUUUUUGAUAUCGCUAAAAAUAACUACGAUUAAAAAUAUUAUUUUGCGAGUUUUAAAUUUUGCCAAAUAUUUUCAAUGAAAUGAAAAUAAAAUUAUUGAAUAAAUAAGAAUAAUUUAGGGAAAAAAUUGAAGUUGACAUUAAAAAUAGUAAAGGAGAAAUCUUACUAAUUCUCUACCUAAUGCAAGGAUUUGGUCGACACGUAUAGGUACUACGCAAGUGCGAUAUGGGGUGGGUCCAUAACACGUGGCAUCACACGCUAGCACGAGAGAAACGUCACGUACUGGCGCACUUUUGCCUAUGGUGGACACUUGGCCAACUACUUGCACACCUGGCUCCUUUGAGAAGAGUUUUUCUGUUAUUAUUAUUAUUACUAGUGUAGUAACCCGCACGAUGCGACGGAUAAAUAAUAGAAGAAAAAAUAAUAAAUAUUGAAGAGGAAGAAGAAAAGAGUUUGGAAAAUAAAAUUUCAAGUGUGUUUUAUUUUUUGGAUAGAAAAAUAUAUGAAUUGAGCUAACCAAUAUGACCAUUAAAAAUCGAUAAAUGUUUAGAAUCAUCAUUAAAAAAAACUUACAAAAGGUCAUAUGAAGAUAGAGAUGAUAAUGUUGCGAUGAUGAUGAUAAUGGUGAUGAAAAUCUCAUAAAAAUUUGCAGGAUUUUGUAUUCUUUUAGAUAUUGAAUGAUCAGAAGUUGUGGGUCAGAACUACCACAUCAAUUAUAAAAUCAAAACUAACAUCUAAUUAAUCGAAAUAAUGCAUAUAAAUCAAAUCCUUAAUUGAUACAACCACUAUAUAAAAAAUAAUGUAAAUAAAUUAAUUCUAAAUUGAUAUUUAGUAAGAAUUUGCGAUUAAAAUAAAGAAAAGAAAAAUUAGGUUUAGGAUUUUCGUUUUCCAAACCUACCCCUAAAUCCGAAAGCUUGGAGGACUCCCUUGCUCUUCUCCAAUCUUUAUAUUUGAAUGUAGUAACUAUUUAUCUUCUCCUCUUUUAAUUUUGCAUGUUAGAAAUUAUUUGAGAAAGAGUAAAUGGCUAAAAACUAAACGUAUAUAUUAAAAAGCACAUUAAUUAUAGGUUAUUGAAUAGAGAGGAGGGGAGGGGAAAAGCCAAAUUAAAGAUCAAUUAAAAAAAAAAGAGUUAGUGAGGAUGGAGGAAAACUUGCCAUGUAGCAAAAUUAUUGGGAAUUCAUAUAGAUUAAUAAUAGAUAAUAGAUUAUUAGUUUCGACUAUUCUUCUUUUUUUUUUUUUUUUUUAGAAAGAUAGAUAACACGCUACCCACUUCAUUUAUUUUAUUUAGCAAUAAACUUAGUUAGAAAUGUGAAUCAAAUAGGAUUCGAAUUUGAGUCUCAGGUACCAACCACCAAGUCCUUUGCCACUUACUCUAGGAACGGUAAGUAGUUUCGACUAUUCCUAACUCUAGUUAGUUAAUUCGCGAAUUAUUCGUAAAUUAUUAAAAAUCCGAAUUAAACGGUCCGUUUAGAAAUUUUUUCUAAAAAAAAAAAAUUAUUCGCGAAUUUUUGAGCCAGCCGAAUUAUUCCCGAAUUAUUAAAAAUAUGAAUAAAAAACAUAUAAUUUUUAUAUUUAAAUAUAAAUUAUCUUAUAUUUUAUAUCUUAUAUUUUAUAUUUUAUACCGAAUUCGUUUUUUAAUCCGAAAUUUUCAACGAAUUUAAAAAUUAGAAAAUAAAUUUUAUGCGUAUUACAUCCGUACCGAAUUUUUGCCGAAUCCGAAUUAACUAACUAUGUUCCUAACAAUAUACUCGCGCUUUCCAGCGGUAUAAAUUUUAAUUUUAUAAUUAUUAUAUUAUACGUUAUAUAAAAUUAUUUACUAGAGUCAUAUGAAAAUUAAUAUAUUUUACUCAUAAUUUUUAAAAUUAAAAAUUAAAAAUUUAUAAAAAAUAUAUAAUUACUAAAUUUAAAUUUAAAAUUAUUUAAAUAUUCAUACAUUUUGUUUGAACAAAGAGAAAAAAAAAGCAUUAAAUUAAAAAUUAAACUGAGGGAGAGAGAAAAACAGCAUGCGCAUUUCUCGACAGGAAAAGAAAAGAGAAGAGGUAUGAACGUUAUGUUUAAUAAAAAUUAAGUAAGAGAGAGCACAAUAGGAAUUUAAAAAUUUUAAAUUUUGAAAUUGAAGAUUUAGGAAUAAAUAUUAUAAAUUUUAAAAUUGUAAACUUUUAAUUUUGAAUUUNNNNNNNNNNNNNNNNNNNNNNNNNUUCAACGGAUUAAGUCAUGACCAUCCCUAACAGCAUUCACUAUGCAACACUCAGUGCCGCAUAGAAAGCAACUUUCUCAUAAAAAACAUACAGGGUUCUCGAUAAGUACUAUAGGUUGAUAUUGUUUGGACAUAGUAAGUUGAUUCUUUCAGCAACAGUGAUUGCUUCAUCUCUUGCUUCCUUGACAUCUUUUCCGGUGCUUCUCGCAGGAUUUACAAUUUGGACAAGCACUAUUUUUUCUUAAGCUCGGGAUUCCUCUCCAACGAAGCUCUAGCCCUAAAAAUUUUAGACUGAUCCUUUGAAGAAUAUCCAUGUCGUGCGACGCCUAAUAAAAUUUUCUCCCCUUGUACUGUUGUUUGAUCUCUUGCACCUUGUCGAGCGUAGCCUGAAAGUUCAACACAGAUUCAAGCCGGGCCAAUGUGAAACCCACAGAAGAAUCUUAAUGUCCACUGUGCGCCAAAUACUCUAUACCAUAAUUAGCCACGCUUAGAUUCAUAACUUAGCCCAAGCAUUUCUACUGCAGCAAGAGAGGAAGUGGCGACAUAAUCAAAUGUUUGGAAGCCAAUUAGAUCUGCAUUAAGCAAUGCCUUCAGGAUUUCAUCUCUAACAGGGAGAUUCUGUAAAUCUCCGAGGAGGGAAAUGGGCUGUGGAGAAAGAAACCGAGCUUAACCCUACUAGUCUUUUCCUUAGAAAAGUAGGGAGAAGCAUUAGAUGAUAAUCGUGAACCAAACAUAAUCGUCAACAGAAUAAUUGCCUCCAUAACUUUGUCAGCAAAUAUUUUAUUGGCAGAAACAUAGGCUUGGAAAAGAGAAGCGAUCGAAGAGGUCACCUUUGAGGCAGAAAGAAGCAUGUAAUGAAAAGAGGCCAUAAGUGCUGCUUGCAGAAGCCAUGAUAGAACUUCUUGUGGAGUUCGGCGUGGGAGAAAAGUUGAAUGCAUUUAUGUUUCCUUGAAAGUUUUUGAGCGACAUCUUCUUGCUCUGCAGUAUCUACAUCAGCCUUCAGACUACCGACGUAGAUGACUUCAGUAUCAGGAGAGAAGCCAUCUUUCAGCUGAACAAGAAUAGAAUCCUCAUCCAGUGUGAAACUUCAUUUCCCACUAAUUGGAUUCUUUUGAGAACUCACUGGAAGGAAGUUGCGACAAUUAUUUUUUCGGUCUCGAACAAUUGGUGCUGAAUCAUCUGAAUCUUCAUCACUGUUGUGUCUCUUUCGAGGUCGGUGAUCAUUCGAGGGGCAGUCAUUACAAGGGAAGUGACCUUAUAGGAUGACAGAAAUCAAAUACAUCAUCAGAACACAUAUCAAGAAGGUUUG
rnacentral:lncRNA from 1 species